AUUGUUACUGGACUUGUAACAGCUUUGCAGGUUUACACAAAAGGGCUUUCUGGUAAUUUAUCAGAAGUCCAAAAGGGACAGGUCAGGAGCAGAGCCUGCAGAGCAGGACUGGUUCUGCUGUGGCUGUUGUUACAGCUUGGUGAAUACACAGCUGCUCUAAUGAGGGAUGUGGCAAUCCAAGCACAGCACUCAACUGUAACUUGCUGAUACCAAGGAAGUCUAUGAAGUCACAAAAACAGAGGAGCCUGUAACUUCUCCAGAAAAUACUGUACCUCAGUGGAACUUCUUCCAAAUGUGUUACGUGUAUGGGAUCGUCCAGUCAUCAUCUGGGAGAGCAGAAAAGCUGCUCCCAGAGGAAGCAGGAAUUUUGUAAUUAGAAGAGACAAUGUUUGGCUGAAGCAAAAGUAUCAGAAAAGGACUUAUACAGAUCUGCUCUGGAGACAGUCAGAAAAGCUACCAGCAAUUUUCUCACUACACAAAUGCAAAUAGGCAGACCUGAGCCAAAGUACAGAAAUACUAUUAAGGAUUAUUUGGAAACAUUUGCCAUCAGCAGGAAUGUUGUAAGCAUUUAGGUAGAGCUGCCUAGGCUCCCUUUAAAACAAGUAUGCAAGCAAAAUGAAAUAUGCCUGGAAAGUACCUGUCUCUCCCCAGUGGCCAUCAUGGGAGCUUAGACUAUUGUCUCUGGAUAACCACUUGACUCUCAGGUUAAAUGACAUCUUCUAUGUUCCCUGUCCAAAUUUUCCUGUAAAACAGGACCAUGCUUUGGUAUGGCUGUUUUCUUUGGUAUUUUCAGCACUGCAGCCAGCAAGAGAUGAUGUACUGCAAGAGAGUCAGUUUCUAUGCAGCUGAAACAGGACUUUCUCACUGAAAGCACAGGGCUUAGUACAGCUGUUGCUGCUUCAGGAUCUCAGAUGAGCUUGUCACUGGAGGUGGUGUUUUGCUUUAGCCUUAGAUACACCUGUAUCAUUUCAAUUAACUUUCAGUCUGAGGAUAUAUUCAUAAAGUUGAUCUUAAGAUAUCAUGGCAAUAAAAAUCACUCUGUACAAAAUAACCUCUCCUGCAGAAAAGACUUUCCCACUGGAAGAAAGUGAAGAGAGCAGAGUAGUGAUGCUCUCUCAGCAGGGUGGCCGAGUGUCUCGUUCCUGGCUGCAGCCUGAAAGGUGUUAGAGCAAAAGCAGGGUAGGUCAGAGCUUCAGGUUCACAAAGGAAGUAACAAAGUGCUCUAGGAAUGCUGCCCUGCCACCUCUGCUUUUGGAGCUGCAGCACUGCUAGGAAUGAGACUAGAUCUAAUAGAUGAACAGUCUAAACAAUAAAGCUUUUCUAUCAGAAGAGUCAAGCAGAACUUGACCUCUCCAGGGCACCUCAAAAAUUCUUGUCUUUCAAUGCAUGGAUAUGUCUCUUACACCAUACUGUUAAAAGUGUCCAUGAAUGCCUUGAAACAAAACAAAACAAACAAUUCUUAAAACCCCAGACAUUCAGAUGGAAAAUAUUUUUUAUUGAUCAACUAACUUCUUGUUCCCUUACUCCUCACUCAUAUUCCUGAUCUCACAUGAUCAAUUCCACAUGGUUUCAGGAUAUGCUAUUAAUCAUCUUUUAUUUUACUUUAUUCCCAUGUUACACAACAGGAAGCAUGUUUGACAGGACUAUUCAGUGAAAUAAAGGCCAAAUAUUUGUUAAUCAGUACAGUGUGUCAUAUUAUCCUGAACAAUUGAGUAUAAAUACUGAUAUAAUGGGGAAAAGUAUUUCCAUUAAACUGGUUCUUUCUAGACCAGAUUUCCACAAGACAGUUUUAAAUAGCAAUCAACCAAAGACAUGUACCACCUCAGACAAAUAGGAAAAUUAUCUCCAAGGCAAACACAAAUGCAAACACAGAAAGCAGUUGUUAGAUAUACUUAAAGAACAUGGUCUGUCAUGGUGAGAUCAUCAGAAUGGCAUGAGAAAAUCAAGACAGGAAAUUGCGAAGAAGAAUAAUGUAUCAAAGCUGAGAAAACUUCCUCCAUUAUUCAUUUCUCAAAAAC